UACAGAGGUCUCAAGCGUUGUUCGGAUUCAUUGGGCGUAAAGGGUGCGUAGGUGGCGCCAUAAGUCGGGUGUGAAAUCGUCGGGGCUUAACUCCGAAACUGCAUUCGAUACUGUGGUGCUCGAGGACUGGGAGAGGAGACUGGAAUUCAUGGUGUAGCGGUGAAAUGCGCAGAUAUCAAGGAGGAACACCGGUGGCGAAGGCGGGUCUCCUGGGCCGAUGACUGACGCUGGAGGAGCGAAAGCGUGGGGAGCAAACAGGA
rnacentral:rRNA from 1 species